ACCUACGGGCACAACACCCUGACAUUGGCCAAUCUCGUCUGAUCUCAGAAGCAAUUUGGGGCUGUGCCUGGUCAGUACUUGCAUUGGAGACGGCCUGGGAAUAUCAGGUGUUCAAGGCU
rnacentral:rRNA from 1 species